rnacentral:rRNA from 1 species
CCUACGGGUGGCAGCAGUGGGGAAUAUUGCACAAUGGGGGAAACCCUGAUGCAGCGACGCCGCGUGAGCGAUGAAGUCUUUCGGUAUGUAAAGCCCUAUCAGCAGGGAAGAAAAUGACGGUACCUGACUAAGAAGCCCCGGCUAACUACGUGCCAGCAGCCGCGGUAAUACGUAGGGGGCAACCGUUAUCCGGAUUUACUGGGUGUAAAGGGAGCGUAGACGGCUGUGCAAGACAGAUGUGAAAGCCCGGGGCUCAACCCCGGGACUGCAUUUGGAACUGUGUGGCUGGAGUGUCGGAGAGGCAGGCGGAAUUCCUAGUGUAGCGGUGAAAUGCGUAGAUAUUAGGAGGAACACCAGUGGCGAAGGCGGCCUACUGGACGAUGACUGACGUUGAGGCACGAAAGCGUGGGGAGCAAACAGGAUUAGAUACCCUAGUAGUC